rnacentral:rRNA from 1 species
CCUACGGGUGGCAGCAGUAGGGAAUAUUGCUCAAUGGGGGAAACCCUGAAGCAGCAACGCCGCGUGGAGGAUGAAGGUUUUCGGAUUGUAAACUCCUUUUGUUAGAGAAGAUAAUGACGGUAUCUAACGAAUAAGCACAGGCUAACGCCGUGACAGCAGCAGCGGGAAUACGGAGGGUGCAAGCGUUACUCGGAAUCACUGGGCGUAAAGAGCGCGGAGGAGGGAUAGCAAGUCCGAUGUGAAAUCCUAUGGCUUAACCAUAGAACUGCAUUUGAAACUGUUAUGCUAGAGUAUGGGAGAGGUAGGUGGAAUUCUUGGUGUAGGGGUAAAAUCCUUAGAGAUCAAGUGGAAUACUCAUUGCGAAGGCGACCUGCUAGAACAUAACUGACGCUGAUGCGCGAAAGCGUGGGGAGCAAACAGGAUUAGAUACCCGUGUAGUC